AUACGGAGGGUGCAAGCGUUAUUCGGAAUCACUGGGCGUAAAGGACGCGUAGGCGGGUUGGCAAGUCAGAUGUGAAAUCCUACAGCUUAACUGUAGAACUGCAUUUGAAACUGCUAACCUAGAGUAUGGGAGGGGGAGAUGGAAUUAGUGGUGUAGGGGUAAAAUCCGUAGAUAUCACUAGGAAUACCGAAAGCAAAGGCGAUCUCCUGGAACAUAACUGACGCUAAGGCGUGAAAGCGUGGGGAGCAAACAGGAUUAGAAACCCUAGUAGUCC
rnacentral:rRNA from 1 species